rfam:Aspergillus nomius NRRL 13137 contig00025, whole genome shotgun sequence.
CCCCUGAUGGUCUAGUUGGAUAUGACGUCUGACUGUAAUGGGAUUUCUUACCUUGUAAUCAGAAGGUCGCUGGCUCGAUUCCGGCUCGGGGGA